rnacentral:lncRNA from 1 species
UGUGAGCAGUGAGGCCUCGGACCAACAGUCAAUGAGCUGCUCGCCUUUUGUUUGGCUUUGCUGCCAUUGACGAGUUGUCUGAAAGUAACUGAUUGUAUGGACUGGAGCAGAGUGGGAACCAGGCCAACGGCCGGAGCCAAGAACUCCAGAAAACAGCGUCUUUUGUUACUCACCUUGCACCUUUAAAACCUUGUCAAUCUGUUGAAGACUGCACCUGUCCUGGACCAGCGUUUUCAACAAAUAACUGAUCACACAGAGGAAAUUUGACGCCCUGACGUGUGCACCACCACAACAACCUGCUGCUCCACCUUCUAGAUUUGAGCCCACACAGCCUGACUUCUCACCCCCUGACGGACCUGCUCCAGCUGAACGCCCUCUGCAGACCGCCUCUCGGAAACCUGCCCCACGCCUGCCUUCUACGUGAACGUGGAUGUACUAUUCUCGGUGAUCCAGGGGACUCCAGGUGCUGAGAAGAAAUGAUGGCCAACACAUUUCCUCCAACAAAAUCUGGAGGCUGCACCAGUUCUUCUGAAGUCUGGAGGUGACCUGCAGAUGAACCCCAGAGGUCCAGAGGGAAGGACAGAGUGGCCAGUGAGCACAAUUCAUGUCAGAUGGGAACACUGCUUGUGGGUUCCCAGAGAUGCUG